rnacentral:SRP_RNA from 15 species
UGGCGGGCUAGCCUGGGCGGUUCGGCGUCGCCUGUCACUCGAAACCGUCGAUAUGCGAUGAGGCGAAGCUUGAGGAAGAUAUUUCAAAUAUAUUCCAACCCAAAAAUUUUACGGUGAAAUCUCGUCCUGUGGGGACAGCUUUGACGCAGGGGCUAACUGGAGAGAUUGCCCCUCUUCUUGGUUAUGGGCACCGGUUUAGAUCCGGAAGGGAGCAGACCUACCAUAAAUGACUGUCGCUCAUAGGGAUGCGGGAUAGAGGCGAGUUUUUGGACCAUUGGGAUAUAUGCGAAAUGGCGACCGAUAGCGUGCCCGCCU